ACUUAAGCAUAUCAAUAAGCGGAGGAAAAGAAACCAACAGGGAUUGCCCCAGUAACGGCGAGUGAAGCGGCAAAAGCUCAAAUUUGAAAUCCUGCGGGAAUUGUAAUUUGAAGGUUUCGUGGUCUGAGUCGGCCGCGCCCAAGUCCAUUGGAACAUGGCGCCUGGGAGGGUGAGAGCCCCGUAUGGCGCACGCCGACUCUUUGUACACCGCGGCUCCGACGAGUCGAGUUGUUUGGGAAUGCAGCUCUAAGUGGGUGGUAAAUUCCAUCUAAAGCUAAAUAUUGGCGAGAGACCGAUAGCGAACAAGUACAGUGAUGGAAAGAUGAAAAGCACUUUGAAAAGAGAGUGAAACAGCACGUGAAAUUGUUGAAAGGGAAGGGCUUGCAAGCAGACACGGUUUUACCGGGCCAGCGUCGAAAAGGGGGGAGGAACAAGAACUCGAGAAUGUGGCGCGCACCUUCGGGCGCGCGUGUUAUAGCUCGUGUUGACGCCUCCAUCCCUUUUCGAGGCCUGCGAUUCUAGGACGCUGGCGUAAUGGUUGCAAGCCGCCCGUCUUGAAACACGGACCAAGGAGUCUAACGUCUAUGCGAGUGUUUGGGUGCAAAACCCCAGCGCGGAAUGAAAGUAAGAGGUUGGAGCCGCAAGGCGCACAAUCGACCGACCCUGAAGUGCUCGGACGGGUUUGAGUAGGAGCAUAGCUGUUGGGACCCGAAAGAUGGUGAACUAUGCCUGGAUAGGGUGAAGCCAGAGGAAACUCUGGUGGAGGCUCGCAGCGGUUCUGACGUGCAAAUCGAUCGUCGAAUCUGGGUAUAGGGGCGAAAGACUAAUCGAACCAUCUAGUAGCUGGUUCCUGCCGAAGU
rnacentral:rRNA from 1 species